UAGGGAAUAUUGGACAAUGGGUGAGAGCCUGAUCCAGCCAUGCCGCGUGCAGGAAGAAGGCGUUAUGCGUUGUAAACUGCUUUUUGCCAGGGGAUAAAAAGACCGUGCGCGGUUAAUUGAAGGUACCUGGUGAAUAAGCCACGGCUAACUACGUGCCAGCAGCCGCGGUAAUACGUAGGUGGCAAGCGUUGUCCGGAUUUAUUGGGUUUAAAGGGUGCGUAGGUGGCCCUGUAAGUCAGGGGUGAAAGCCCGAGGCUCAACCUCGGAAUUGCCUCUGAUACUGGCUGUCUAGAGUUCGAGAGAGGUGAGUGGAAUUCCUAGUGUAGAGGUGAAAUUCGUAGAUAUUAGGAAGAACACCGGUGGCGAAGGCGGCUCACUGGCUCGAUACUGACACUGAGGUGCGAAAGCGUGGGGAGCAAACAGGAUUAGAUACCCUCGUAGUCCCUGAGCGGGCUGGCAAGGCGCAU
rnacentral:rRNA from 1 species